UACAGAGGGGGCAAGCGUUGUUCGGAAUUACUGGGCGUAAAGGGCGCGUAGGCGGCCUGUUAAGUCGAACGUGAAAUCCCCGGGCUCAACCCGGGAACUGCGUCCGAUACUGGCAGGCUUGAAUCCGGGAGAGGGAUGCGGAAUUCCAGGUGUAGCGGUGAAAUGCGUAGAUAUCUGGAGAACACCGGUGGCGAAGGCGGCAUCCUGGACCGGCAUUGAC
rnacentral:rRNA from 1 species